rnacentral:rRNA from 1 species
AACGAACGCUGGCGGCAUGCCUAACACAUGCAAGUCGAACGAGGCCUUCGGGUCUAGUGGCGCACGGGUGCGUAACGCGUGGGAACCUGCCCUUAGGUUCGGAAUAACUCCCCGAAAGGGGUGCUAAUACCGGAUAAUGUCUUCGGACCAAAGAUUUAUCGCCUUUGGAUGGGCCCGCGUUGGAUUAGCUAGUUGGUAGGGUAAAAGCCUACCAAGGCGACGAUCCAUAGCUGGUCUGAGAGGAUGAUCAGCCACACUGGGACUGAGACACGGCCCAGACUCCUACGGGAGGCAGCAGUGGGGAAUAUUGGACACUGGGCGAAAGCCUGAUCCAGCAGUGCCGCGUGAGUGAUGAAGGCCUUAGGGUUGUAAAGCUCUUUUACCCGGGAUGAUAAUGACAGUACCGGGAGAAUAAGCUCCGGCUAACUCCGU